UACAGAGGGUGCGAGCGUUGUCCGGAAUCACUGGGCGUAAAGGGCGCGUAGGUGGCGACCCAAGUCGAUGGUGAAAGCUCGCCGCUCAACGGCGAGUCGGCCACUGAUACUGGGUUGCUGGAGCACUGUAGAGGCAGAUGGAAUUCCGGGUGUAGCGGUGGAAUGCGUAGAGAUCCGGAAGAACACCGGUGGCGAAGGCGGCUUUCUGGCUGCUAACUGACGCUGAGGCGCGAAGGCUGGGGUAGCGAACAGG
rnacentral:rRNA from 1 species